rnacentral:rRNA from 1 species
GACGAACGCUGGCGGCGUGCCUAAUACAUGCAAGUAGAACGCUGAAGGAGGAGCUUGCUUCUCUGGAUGAGUUGCGAACGGGUGAGUAACGCGUAGGUAACCUGCCUGGUAGCGGGGGAUAACUAUUGGAAACGAUAGCUAAUACCGCAUAAGAGUAGAUGUUGCAUGACAUUUGCUUAAAAGGUGCAAUUGCAUCACUACCAGAUGGACCUGCGUUGUAUUAGCUAGUUGGUGGGGUAACGGCUCACCAAGGCGACGAUACAUAGCCGACCUGAGAGGGUGAUCGGCCACACUGGGACUGAGACACGGCCCAGACUCCUACGGGAGGCAGCAGUAGGGAAUCUUCGGCAAGGGACGGAAGUCUGACCGAGCAACGCCGCGUGAGUGAAGAAGGUUUUCGGAUCGUAAAGCUCUGUUGUAAGAGAAGAACGAGUGUGAGAGUGGAAAGUUCACACUGUGACGGUAUCUUACCAGAAAGGGACGGCUAACUACGUG